rnacentral:rRNA from 1 species
CAGCAGCAGCCACGGGAAUACGAAGGGGGCUAGCGUUGUUCGGAAUUACUGGGCGUAAAGCGCACGUAGGCGGACAUUUAAGUCAGGGGUGAAAUCCCGGGGCUCAACCCCGGAACUGCCUUUGAUACUGGGUGUCUAGAGUAUGGAAGAGGUGAGUGGAAUUCCGAGUGUAGAGGUGAAAUUCGUAGAUAUUCGGAGGAACACCAGUGGCGAAGGCGGCUCACUGGUCCAUUACUGACGCUGAGGUGCGAAAGCGUGGGGAGCAAACAGGAUUAGAUACCCCAGUAGUCCCUGUCUCUUAUAC